UUUAAAUUGAGAGUUUGAUCCUGGCUCAGGAUGAACGCUGGCGGCGUGCCUAAUACAUGCAAGUCGUACGCUAGCCGCUGAAUUGAUCCUUCGGGUGAAGUGAGGCAAUGACUAGAGUGGCGAACUGGUGAGUAACACGUAAGAAACCUGCCCUUUAGUGGGGGAUAACAUUUGGAAACAGAUGCUAAUACCGCGUAACAACAAAUCACACAUGUGAUCUGUUUGAAAGGUCCUUUUGGAUCGCUAGAGGAUGGUCUUGCGGCGUAUUAGCUUGUUGGUAGGGUAGAAGCCUACCAAGGCAAUGAUGCGUAGCCGAGUUGAGAGACUGGCCGGCCACAUUGGGACUGAGACACUGCCCAAACUCCUACGGGAGGCUGCAGUAGGGAAUUUUCCGCAAUGCACGAAAGUGUGACGGAGCGACGCCGCGUGUGUGAUGAAGGCUUUCGGGUCGUAAAGCACUGUUGUAAGGGAAGAAUAACUGAAUUCAGAGAAAGUUUUCAGCUUGACGGUACCUUACCAGAAAGGGAUGGCUAAAUACGUGCCAGCAGCCGCGGUAAUACGUAUGUCCCGAGCGUUAUCCGGAUUUAUUGGGCGUAAAGCGAGCGCAGACGGUUUAUUAAGUCUGAUGUGAAAUCCCGAGGCCCAACCUCGGAACUGCAUUGGAAACUGAUUUACUUGAGUGCGAUAGAGGCAAGUGGAACUCCAUGUGUAGCGGUGAAAUGCGUAGAUAUGUGGAAGAACACCAGUGGCGAAAGCGGCUUGCUAGAUCGUAACUGACGUUGAGGCUCGAAAGUAUGGGUAGCAAACGGGAUUAGAUACCCCGGUAGUCCAUACCGUAAACGAUGGGUGCUAGUUGUUAAGAGGUUUCCGCCUCCUAGUGACGUAGCAAACGCAUUAAGCACCCCGCCUGAGGAGUACGGCCGCAAGGCUAAAACUUAAAGGAAUUGACGGGGACCCGCACAAGCGGUGGAGCAUGUGGUUUAAUUCGAAGAUACGCGAAAAACCUUACCAGGUCUUGACAUACCAAUGAUCGCUUUUGUAAUGAAAGCUUUUCUUCGGAACAUUGG
rnacentral:rRNA from 1 species